GAGGAAUAUUGGACAAUGGUCGGAAGACUGAUCCAGCCAUGCCGCGUGCAGGAAGACGGCCUUAUGGGUUGUAAACUGCUUUUGCAGGGGAAGAAUAAGGACUACGAGUAGUUUGAUGACGGUACUCUGCGAAUAAGCAUCGGCUAACUCCGUGCCAGCAGCCGCGGUAAUACGGAGGAUGCGAGCGUUAUCCGGAAUCAUUGGGUUUAAAGGGUCCGUAGGCGGGCUAAUAAGUCAGAGGUGAAAGCGCUCAGCUCAACUGAGCAACUGCCUUUGAAACUGUUAGUCUUGAAUGGUUGUGAAGUAGUUGGAAUGUGUAGUGUAGCGGUGAAAUGCUUAGAUAUUACACAGAACACCGAUAGCGAAGGCAUAUUACUAACAAUUAAUUGACGCUGAUGGACGAAAGCGUGGGGAGCGAACAGGAUUAGAUACCCUGGUAGUCCACGCUGUAAACGAUGGAUACUAGCUGUUUGGUUGUUAAGACUGAGUGGCUAAGCGAAAGUGAUAAGUAUCCCACCUGUGGAGUACGCACGCAAGUGUG
rnacentral:rRNA from 1 species